rnacentral:rRNA from 1 species
UAUGUGAUCGUCUCUCGCAUAUCAAUAAGCGGAGGAAAAGAAACUAACAAGGAUUCCCCUAGUAACGGCGAGUGAAGCGGGAAGAGCUCAAAUUUGAAAUCUUAAAGGGUUUCCCUUUACGAAUUGUAGUUUAAAGAAGUGUUUUCUGUUGAGGUUUUGGUAAAAGUUCUUUGGAAUAGGACAUCAUAGAGGGUGAGAAUCCCGUAUUUGACCUUUACUUUCAACUUUGUGAUACACUUUCAAAGAGUCGGAUUGUUUGGGAAUGCAGUCCAAAAUGGGUGGUAAAUUACAUCUAAAGCUAAAUAUUGGCGAGAGACCGAUAGCGAACAAGUACCGUGAGGGAAAGAUGAAAAGAACUUUGAAAAGAGAGUUAAACAGUACGUGAAAUUGUCAAAAGGGAAGCGUUUGACACCAGUGUUGUUUUUCUGAAAAUCAAUUAAAGAACUGUUUAUGCUAAGUUGUUUAGACUUUAUCAGCUAACUGUUUAGUUUUGAGCUUUUCUUUAAUGCACUUUUCAGUUAACAAGUCAACAUCAAUUUCUUUUGCUGUAAAAAAGCUUGAGGAAGGUGGCUUGAGAUUCGUCUUAAGUGUUUAUAGCCUCUUGCCUAUGCAGUCGGAGAGAUUGAGGUCUGCAGCGUAGAUCCUUCGGGGCUAAAUGCAUUUGUGCUAAGUUAUAGCAUUUUAUAGACAACUUGUUGACUAUGAUUUGUCUUGUAGCUUACUCGCUUAUGUUAUUUUACCUACGCUUAGGAUGUUGAGUAGCGACAUACGCAC